rnacentral:rRNA from 1 species
GCGGCCUAUCAGCUUGUUGGUGGGGUAAUGGCCUACCAAGGCGACAACGGGUAGCCGGCCUGAGAGGGUGACCGGCCACACUGGGACUGAGACACGGCCCAGACUCCUACGGGAGGCAGCAGUGGGGAAUAUUGCGCAAUGGGCGAAAGCCUGACGCAGCGACGCCGCGUGAGGGAUGACUGCCUUCGGGUUGUAAACCUCUUUCGGUAGGGAUGAAGCCUUCGGGUGACAGUACCUGCAGAAGAAGCACCGGCUAACUACGUGCCAGCAGCCGCGGUAACACGUAAGGUGCGAGCGUUGUCCGGAAUUAUUGGGCGUAAAGAGCUCGUAGGCGGUCCGUCACGUCGGAUGUGAAAUUCCAGGGCUCAACCCUGGACCUGCAUUCGAUACGGGCGGACUAGAGUUCGGUAGGGGAGACUGGAAUUCCUGGUGUAGCGGUGAAAUGCGCAGAUAUCAGGAGGAACACCGGUGGCGAAGGCGGGUCUCUGGGCCGAUACUGACGCUGAGGAGCGAAAGCGUGGGGAGCGAACAGGAUUAGAUACCCUGGUAGUCCACGCCGUAAACGUUGGGCGCUAGGUGUGGGGGACCUUCCACGUCCUCUGUGCCGCAGCUAACGCAUUAAGCGCCCCGCCUGGGGAGUACGG